ensembl:snoRNA
AUCCUGUGAUGGCUAUUUGCACGUGCCAACUUGACUGGGCCACAGUGCCCUGAUAGUUGGUUAAACUUUAUUCUGGAU